rnacentral:tRNA from 1 species
AAUUAAUUAGCUUAUACAAAGCAUGUAUUUUGAAAAUAUAAGAAAGACCAAAAAUUUAUUAAUUU